UUGAGAGGUGGAAUAUUCCAAAUAUUCCUUACUUCUAGGGAGUUGUGAGGCCUUAGGAGUCUUAACAAGGAACUUCCAUAAUGUCGGGGGAGAGUCCUCUCAUGGAUGGUUUCCACUUUCUUCGGCACACUAUCUUUAGCCAAGUCCUGAGUGGAUGACUCUCCCAACCGCUAUGACAUGGCACCUAGUCGGCUGUGAUGUCGUGGAACUGAUUCAGCUAAGGAUCUCAUACGGCCAGGGAGGGAACUUGCUUAGAUGGCAGAGGUGAAGGCGAGGCUUCUCUUGCGAGAAAGCCAAGGUAAGGGCUCGGAAAAGCUAAGACGAGGCGAAGACUCGGCAGAGCUGGGACGAGGUGCGAGCUCGUCCGCCAGGAGGGCUAGUUGGUGAAGGCCAAGGCGAGGGCUCGACCAGAUUCUCUUUCCACUUUCUGAGUUGGUGACAAGAUUUGGCACAUUAUAGGCCCUCGACCUCUGAUGGGCUGAGUCGGGUUGUCGGAGUUUACUCAUUAAGGAGAUAACGCACAGGCCUACAUUAUGACCUCCAUCAUGCAUCGCCUUCUCAAGGUGUGAAGUCUCUAUGAAGCUGCCAUGUGUUUGACCCGACGGUUGGGCCUUGAGGGAAGCAAUCAUCUCUCGAUCUUGUCCUUCAGUCCGGCACGAUCUAGGCUGUUGAGGCAGCCUCCAACGGAGUAUAAAUGGAUGAUCCUUCUUCCUUACUCUAUUUUCACCUUGUGAGGAAUUUUGAUCGGAUUUUGGCUGUUGUUGCUCUGCGGCGGGGAAGUGUGUCUCAGGCUUGAGUUUCUAUCAGCAUUUGCCUCUCUGUCCACGAGGAUACCGCCUCCGACAGACUUGAGUCCUCAAAUGUUGCCUUGGACCCCGAAGUGAAUGUCGGGCCAGACCAUCAAGGGGAGGAGCCACCCACCUUAGUGGCUGAUUAUAGGGUGAUGCCCUCACUGGGGAAGAUAAAAAUGGCGCGAAGGUCCCCAAUGCCAAGAGUCCGAAAAAAGGUGAGGAAGACUCGGACGGCGGCAAAGGCGAAGGUUCUACUUCGUCCUUUGGCCCGCACAGAGCCGCCAGUCUAGUCUUCGAAGUUCUCCCAUCCAAAAUCCUAGAGGUGUAUCACGAGUGGUAUGGGAUUCCAGUGGACGUUGUAAUGCGGAUCCCAAAUCGCAAGGAGUCUGCGGAUUCUAACAAGGACGAGGUCGCCAUGUAUGAGGUCGCCUUCCUUUGUGGACUAAGGAUACCUGUCCCGUCCUUCAUUUGUGAUUUCCUGAACUAUUGGGGUAUCUCCCCGGGUCAGCUAAUGCCCGACUCUUGGCGCAUCCUGCUCGGCUUCUCCAUCUAUGUAGCCCAGCUAAGGCGUACCGCCACCCUCGGCCCUUUCCGCUACUAUUUUGUCUUGAAGCGGCAUAGCACCGGUUGGUUCUACUUCACUCGCCAAGAUGCAGGGAAGCAUAAGUAGCAUGGUGGUUGAUCAAUUAACCAAACCCAUUACUCAUAACAUUUUUCUUGCUCAUGUUAGAAAUUUGGGACUUGGACUUAAAUGAAUUGUAUUUUGCAUUUGAAUAUAUCUUUAGACAUUAUUGUUAUGAAUCUUUGAUUUAUAUAUAUGAGACAUAUACUUUUUUUGGGUGA